rnacentral:lncRNA from 12 species
AAGCUGUUUAGACCGCCUACAACUGGAUGCCAUUUGAAAGGGAUCUUUUAUAGCCACCUACCCAGUGGGUUCUUGAAGAUGUUCAACAGACUGCAUGGUAGGGAUCCUUGGAGACAUCCGCCUGGGCCCAUAUGGAGGGCGGAACCCAGGAAUGUUCUGGAGAGCAGCCAAGGAACCCAAAGGAAGGAAGCCGGUGGGUUUCAGCACUUUUUUUUUUUUUUUUUUUUUUUUGUGGGCAAAGUAUAGGUUUUUUUUUUCUUAAAGAUUUUAUUUCGACUUUUUUUUUAAAUAUUUAUUCAUGACAGACACAGAGAGAGAGAGAGGCAGAGACACAGGCAGAGGGAGAAGCAGGCUCCGUGCAGGGAGCCCGAUGUGGGACUCGAUUCCAGGACCCCGAGAUCAGGCCCUGGGCUGAAGGCAGACGCUCAACCACCAGGCCGCAGGCGCCGCCGGAGAGCUGUCUGCGAGGAGCUGCUGUGUGCCCUGGAGCACGCGGCCAGGUGCUGUGCACAUCCACCGGGCGACACUAUUGUCACUGGAAGGAUGGUGACGUCUGUGAUACACAUUUUCCUGUAAUUAACUUGUGGUCUUUGGUUCUUUAUAAUAAAGUCAUUUUUCAAAUGGCAUUAGGUCCCUACUGUACUAAGAAAAAGGAAGUGGUUGUUUCCCCCCUCGUGAUGAGAGCAGCCACGGGAGAACGAGGCCGCGGGUGCGCAGCGGGGAGGAGCACCUGCCGCAGCACCACCGCGGUCCCCGGGGCAGGUGACGGGCGGGGCGGGGCGGGGCGGGGCGGGCCGCGGGGCGGGGGGUGUCCCGGGGCAGGAAGGGCAGCCUGCGGCCCGGCCUCCGUGCGCUUCAGGACCCGCGCCAGCCCGCGGCCGUGCGCUCCUCCCGGGGCGAGGCAGGGGGUGCUUGGCUGGCCUGGGCCCAGAGGACGGGGCGGCCCGCGGACACGCUGCACCCCCAAGGCCCCGGAGCUGCUCCUGGGGGCUCUGCGUUUGAGGGCAAACCGGGUGUUCCACGUACGAGGCCUCAGGGGCAGAGAAGGAACGGCCAGAGCGCCGAGGCCGACGGCAGCGGCUUCAGGCACACAGAAUGCAAGAGAAACACAUUUUGCUAUAUUUGCAUGUCAUGUGAAGCAUUCAUUUCUAUUCCUUCUGGCUAGCAGCACUUUCUGUUCAAUUAGAGAGAGAACGACAAUGCACAAAGAGAGGAGAAUUCCCUUCCAGAACUUGGGGAAAGAGCUUACAAAUCGCUCUGUCAAGCCUAGUACAUCUGGCAGGUUCCUCUUUUCUCAGAGAAGGGCAGGAAGGUAACAUAUGAUAUAAUACUUUCUUAAAAAUCCUGAGUGAAUAAAGUAGUCUUGAGAGAAAGUUCCCA